rnacentral:rRNA from 1 species
GAUAAACGCUGGCGGCGCACAUAAGACAUGCAAGUCGAACGAACUUAACCAUAAGUUUACUUUUGGAGCGGUUAGUGGCGGACUGGUGAGUAACACGUAAGCAACCUGCCUAUCAGAGGGGAACAACAGUUAGAAAUGACUGCUAAUACCGCAUAUGCCAUAAUCACCACAUGGUGAUAGUGGGAAAGGAGCAAUCCGCUGAUAGAUGGGCUUGCGUCUGAUUAGAUAGUUGGUGGGGUAAUGGCCUACCAAGUCGACGAUCAGUAGCCGGACUGAGAGGUUGAACGGCCACAUUGGGACUGAGAUACGGCCCAGACUCCUACGGGAGGCAGCAGUCGGGAAUAUUGCGCAAUGGAGGAAACUCUGACGCAGUGACGCCGCGUGCAGGAAGAAGGUUUUCGGAUUGUAAACUGCUUUAGACAGGGAAGAUAAAAAGACAGUACCUGUAGAAUAAGCUCCGGCUAACUACGUGCCAGCAGCCGACGG